CCUACGGGAGGCAGCAGUAGGGAAUCUUCCACAAUGGACGAAAGUCUGAUGGAGCAACGCCGCGUGAGUGAAGAAGGGUUUCGGCUCGUAAAACUCUGUUGUUAAAGAAGAACAUAUCUGAGAGUAACUGUUCAGGUAUUGACGGUAUUUAACCAGAAAGCCACGGCUAACUACGUGCCAGCAGCCGCGGUAAUACGUAGGUGGCAAGCGUUGUCCGGAUUUAUUGGGCGUAAAGCGAGCGCAGGCGGUUUUUUAAGUCUGAUGUGAAAGCCUUCGGCUCAACCGAAGAAGUGCAUCGGAAACUGGGAAACUUGAGUGCAGAAGAGGACAGUGGAACUCCAUGUGUAGCGGUGAAAUGCGUAGAUAUAUGGAAGAACACCAGUGGCGAAGCGGCUGUCUGGUCUGUAACUGACGCUGA
rnacentral:rRNA from 2 species